UAGGGAAUCUUCCGCAAUUGGCGAAAGCCUGACGGAGCAACGCCGUGUGAGUGAUGAAGGUCUUCGGAUCGUAAAACUCUGUUAUUAGGGAAGAACAAAUGUGUAAGUAACUAUGCACGUCUUGACGGUACCUAAUCAGAAAGCCACGGCUAACUACGUGCCAGCAGCCGCGGUAAUACGUAGGUGGCAAGCGUUAUCCGGAAUUAUUGGGCGUAAAGCGCGCGUAGGCGGUUUUUUAAGUCUGAUGUGAAAGCCCACGGCUCAACCGUGGAGGGUCAUUGGAAACUGGAAAACUUGAGUGCAGAAGAGGAAAGUGGAAUUCCAUGUGUAGCGGUGAAAUGCGCAGAGAUAUGGAGGAACACCAGUGGCGAAGGCGGCUCUCUGGUCUGUAACUGACGCUGAGGCUCGAAAGCGUGGGGAGCGAACAGG
rnacentral:rRNA from 1 species